UACGGAGGGGGCUAGCGUUGUUCGGAAUUACUGGGCGUAAAGCGCACGUAGGCGGCUUUACAAGUCAGGGGUGAAAGCCCGCGGCUCAACCGCGGAAUUGCCCUUGAGACUGUAUCGCUUGAACACGGGAGAGGUGAGUGGAAUUCCGAGUGUAGAGGUGAAAUUCGUAGAUAUUCGGAAGAACACCAGUGGCGAAGGCGGCUCGCUGGACCGUAGUUGACGCUGAGGUGUGAAAGCGUGGGGAGCAAACAGG
rnacentral:rRNA from 1 species